GAUGAACGCUGACAGAAUGCUUAACACAUGCAAGUCUUUGGCGAAUCUGUGCUUGCACAUGUUAGCCAAGUCGGACGGGUGAGUAACGCGUAAAGAACUUGCCCUGCAGACAGGGAUAACAGACGGAAACGACUGAUAACACCUGAUACAAUUGCCUGCGCGCAUGUGCGUGGCAAUAAAAAGAGAUGCUGCAGGAGAGCUUUACGUACUAUUAGCUUGCUGGUGAGGUGACUGCUCACCUAGGCGAUGAUAGGUAGCCCGCCUGAGAGGGUGCACGGCCACGAGGGGAAUGAGAUACGGCACUUACGCCUACGGGAGGAAGCAGUGGAGAAUAUUGGACAAAGGGGGCAACCGUGAUCAAGCAAUUCUGUGUGCACGAAGAAGGUUUUCGGAUUGUAAAGUGCUUUAAGCAGGGAAGAAGAAAGUGACGGUACCUGAAGAGGAAGCGACGGCUAAAUACGUG
rnacentral:rRNA from 1 species